ACAGUCAAACGCAAAGCUGUGUACAUAUUCAAUCAUUAGUCAGUCAUUCCAAGGCUUGGAAAAGAAGUGGUUUUGCAAAAGAGUUCUUAUGAAGACUCUGUUGUGUGUGCAGUUCAUUAUGCAUAUGUAUUGUGUGUGUGUGUGUGUGUGUGUGUGUGAGUGUGU